UAUGUAGGGUGCAAGCGUUGUCCGGAAUUAUUGGGCGUAAAGAGCUCGUAGGCGGCCUGUUGCGUCCGCUGUGAAAUCCCGGGGCUUAACCCCGGGCUUGCAGUGGAUACGGGCAGGCUGGAGGCAGGCAGGGGAGAACGGAAUUCCCGGUGUAGCGGUGAAAUGCGCAGAUAUCGGGAGGAACACCGGUGGCGAAGGCGGUUCUCUGGGCCUGUACUGACGCUGAGGAGCGAAAGCGUGGGGAGCGAACAGG
rnacentral:rRNA from 1 species